AUACGUAGGUGGCAAGCGUUGUCCGGAAUUAUUGGGCGUAAAGCGCAUGUAGGCGGUGCCUUAAGUCUGUCGUGAAACUGCGGGGCCUAACCCCGUAUGGCGAUGGAAACUGUGGCACUUGAGUGCAGGAGAGGAAAGGGGAACUCCCAGUGUAGCGGUGAAAUGCGUAGAUAUUGGGAAGAACACCGGUGGCGAAGGCGCCUUUCUGGACUGUGUCUGACGCUGAGAUGCGAAAGCCAGGGUAGCGAACGGGAUUAGAUCCCCCGGUAGUCCUGGCCGUAAACGAUGGGUACUAGGUGUGGGAGGUAUCGACCCCUUCCGUGCCGGAGUUAACGCAAUAAGUACCCCGCCUGGGGAGUACGGCCGCAAGGCUUAAACUCAAAGGAAUUGACGGGG
rnacentral:rRNA from 1 species